AUACCUUUCUCGGCCUUUUGGCUAAGAUCAAGUGUAGUAUCUGUUCUUAUCAGUUUAAUAUCUGAUACGUGGGCCAUCGGCCCACACGAUAUUAAAUUGGCCCACACGAUAUUAAAUUAAUUUUUCCAGGUGAGUUCCCAUCACGGCAGCUUGCUGCUGGGGUUCUCGAGCGUCGCCUGUGUUUUGCACUACAGCACUGGCCUGGCGCACCCUCC
rnacentral:snRNA from 1 species